CUCGUCUCCCGUCUCCAGGGGCAGCCGUCUGCAUCUCGUUCCCCUCUCCCUCCGACAUGGCCGCCCCCAUCCACCGCCCACCCCCGCCGCCGCUGCCCUCACCCUCUCCCUGCCCAGGCCCCACAUCAAGCAGCGGCCAUGGCGUUCCCGGCCGCCGUGGUGCGUGAUUCCCACCUCUACCUCUGCCUCGCCGUGGAUGGGAAGAUCGGAAUCCUCCAUGGACGGACGCACUGAUGGGGGUCUCGUCUGACGACGGAGGCGGACCACCAGGAGGAGUUGCCGUGAGACGACACCGACGGUCGGCUCCUUCUCCACAACAACACAACACCGACCGUGGGGACUCCCGUUCUUCCACCCUGAUGGCCUCUCCUCCGGCGCCCCUGUUCUUCUUCCACUCCAGCACGAUGGUGCACGACAGAGCCGGCUGCGUGUGGUGCGUGCGGGGGGAUUCUUCUUCCACUCUGGCAAUCUGAGAGCAGCCAAGCAAGGUUAUUGAGAUAUGUAUCUUGCGAUUCUUUGUGUGCCGGUUACAUCUGCGGGUACGGCUGCACGAGUUCAUGUCUGUCAUUCACACAUGCAAAUUGUGAUGCCUGCUGCUUGCGACAGUUUCGCCCCUGUUCUUCUUCUACUCCGGCAAGAUGGAUUCAAACUUGGUUCUGAAAAGCACACCACAGAGGUCACCGUGAAGAAGUCUGGAAGCCUGCUUAUAAAUUCUGGGAUACAAGGAUACUCCCUGCUAAAGACAACUCAGUCUGGAUUUGAAGGAUUCAUGAGGGAUCGCUACACUCUUCUUCCUGAAACAAGAGAAAGAAUUGUAGCUACAGAAGUAACUGCUUGGUGGAGCAGAUGAGAGGCUGGAAUGUUCCAUCCAAAUAGUUUAAUCAGAAACUGCACUGGCAAAGGUCUAGAGGAUGUAGAGGAGCUCCAGUUUGAUCCUAAGGAUGGCAUUGCUUUUUUUCUUCUUAUGCUCCAGUUUGCAGCAGCAUCUCCGACACCCUCUCGACGAAUUGCAGGUAGAUUGUAGCUGAGGAUGCGGCGAUGACCACCGAGGACCGGAGUGCAUGCUCGGUGGCAGAAGCAUCAGGGUGCUCCACGCUCAACAUCUUCUCAGCAUAGCUGCUCGAUCAGUAGUUUUGAUUGAUCUAUUUGAUAAUUUAAGCCAUCCAGUUGAUGUUCUUGGUUCGCUCAUGCUCUUUUCUUAUGUUGUUGUUUAAUCACUAUUGGCUUGGAUAUUCUCUAUAGCAUCUCAACAAUUCACUGCAACUGGCCAGGUUAUUCUGUAUAUUUGAUACUGUACGAGAGUAGCAGUCGGACUCAAAAAAUCACAACAUUCUGCAGGUACAGCAACCACUUGACGCCGAUCCUUGAUCUCAUGUUAUAUGAGUAGGUUAUAAAUUUUUAGUAACUAAAUUCACAUUAGUUUUUGAAGCACAAAUUGAUGUCUGUAAGUUAUUUAGGAUAACAUUUUGCUCCAUUUGGUAGAUAUAUAACAAGACAAUAUAGAGGGAUGUAGAGAGCUAUUUUUUUGUUAAAAUAAACAGUGGAAACGGUUGGCUUUAAUCAGAUAUGUUUGCUGAAAUCCAUUUGGAUAUUUUUUUCUCUUUUCUUAGCUUGGUCGCACAUGGAUCAGCUUAGUGUGUCUACCUUUUUCACUAAAGUGUGGAUAUUUAUGUAUAGAGUAAAACGUGUCCAUGCUAUUUAUUUUCCAUAGUCAUUGUUGCCUAUACCAUAUUUAAAUUGUUGUCUUUAUUGUCCUUAUCUGAUGAUAGCCCAUUGGGAAAUGAAAGAAAGUGGGUUAAAUACUUUGUUUCUUUAUUUUAGGUCCAAAUUUACAUUGAUCGUUUAGUGGUUCAUCGAAAUUCUUCUGCCUAUGACUUUGAAAUUGGCCAGUAAAAGCCAACAUCCACCCUCUUCACAAGCCGCAGUCAGGGAUUCGUUCAUUUUAGUGUGAGUAAGGAUGGGAACAUUGAUCUAUAUAUGGUAAUAUUUCAUGCUGAUUUCAUUUCUCAUUUCAUUGAUCAUCCGUGUUACUCCUUUGACAAAUGAUAUUUAUAGUACUUCUGGAUGACAAAGACUUUGAGUUCUGUGUGAAGCUCCAAAAGGAAUACCUAUAAGACUCCUUCAUCAACUUAGUAAGAUUGCAUAUGCCCUUUGCGUUGCACAGGUCCAACGCCUCGCUCCUCUACUCAUAGUGAAAAAAAACUUAGGUACUCUGAAAUUUAUCUUUUCUUCCCCUCAUGCUUUGUUAGGUUAGAUCAAUAGUUUUAUCUUAUUGGACCUGUGCAUUUUGAGAGUCCUAAAUGGGAACAUUAAAUUUACUUGGACCCUAUCUUAUUCUCAUAUCUGUAACUAGCUUUGCUUGUCAUUUAGAAGGGACGACCUAAGGAGUAGAGAGAUUCGAGGCAAUCAAAAUCCUGCAUAUGUAUGUUUACAUGCGUUUGAUAAUCCUAUGCCAGGGCCACAUAUAUAGGGACAUUCAAAAUUCUACACCAGGUUUACAUAUAUAGGGACAUAUUCAGCUGAGGUUCACGUAUAUACAAACCUGAAACUAUAUGCUUCAAACCGGAUGUGGCAGUAAUCCACUCAUCAUGCAAAACAAAACAAAAAUCUGUUACCUAGCAUGUAUUUGUUUGUACAGAUGAUGCAAUGUACUACAUUUUGUUUGCAUAAUACAUCACCUAGCAUGUAUUUUUUAUAAUCGAGCACCGCGACGAAUCUGUUAUUUACCUUAGGAGGGUAAGAAAAAACACAAUCAAUGAUAUUAUACAUAAUUCUAGACAUUGUUUUAGAGUAUGUUCUGAAGUAUAUUUUUCUUCCAGUAAAUGUUGGAAAUGUCUAUGUACUUUUUUCUCCCAAUAUGUUAUGGUCAUCUUCCUGCUAUGCAUAUAAAUUUCAUGGCCAGCUUACCAGCUGGUGGUUGGCGAUCCUUUCUAUCUUCUUCCUCGCCGGCUCGAUAAAUCUCUUGGUUUCCUUCUCCUACCACUAUUCCUCCCUUGUGCUCUGUAACUCGGCCAUUGAUGUGGCUGUUAGUAAUAAGAUGGUAAUAUUUGUUUUAUAGAAAUACUUGUUUUUUUGCGGGUGUUUAGAAAUACUUGUUAGUUGCACAGGUGUACCCUGCAAGGAAUAAUUUUACAAUGGAAAUGCAUAUCUGUUGAAUUGAUGACUAAACAAGUUUGCGGGCACAUCUCUGAAAAUACAAGCAAAUACAGACAUAGAUUUAAGGGUUCUCAUUCAUUUAAAUCUCAAUGUUGAGAGAAGCCGAUCUCUGGAUAUGAGUAUUUUCUUCCCUGUUUGCGUGAUUGUUUAAUUGAAUGGAUAACUGUGUCUCCUGAAUAUUGUCCCAUAUAAUUGUUUUAAAUCUACCGAAUUAGUUCUCUAAAUCAGUUGAUAUUUUGCAAAGCUUCAAGCUUUAGUUUUUGCACUUCAUGACAUCAAUUGUUUGUGCAGAUUCAAGAUUUAUUUCUGUACUGGAUGAUAGCAGUGAUUAGUGAUUACUGUCACAUGCUGCUGUUGUCAUCCAUAUCUCCUCAGGUGCCUUAGGUUUGUGAUGCGAAAGUUGUUCUACAUAUGUAAAUUGUUCUGUUCUUCUUUCGCCAAUACAUUAAUAAGCCCGCGAUACACUUUGCUUCUUUUUUAUCUAAUGUCUAUUUGUAGACUAAGUGUUUUAUUUAUGAUAGUGGAUUUCUGGCGUACAUGUGAAUAUCUCAUGUAUAUACAAUCAGUACACUCACCUGAACGAGAAUGUUAGCAAGCAGAGCGGGGUUGCGUCUUGUCCUUCUAGCGUCGAAGGUCCGGUGCACCCAUGGGUGUGCCUUUGCUGGUUUCUGACUGUCACAAAGAAGUCAGAGCUGUGGGCGGCGAGGCCACUGCGGCAACGAUGACUAUGAGAACAGUUUUCAGCAAGCGGUGCUCCCCGAAUGUUGCGUUGAACUACGUCAUUGCGUGGCUUGCAACCUUCUCCUAUGAAGCCCGUAUGCAAAAUCGAAACUGUCAUGUCCUCGAUGUUGUGCUCGACUAUUCAUUGUUGCUUUGUGGCUCCGUGCAUCCUCUCCACAGUUAUAUCGUUUUUUGUGAUGUAAUCUUAUUAGUGGUUGGGUCAUCCAUGCGAGCCCCUUCUGAAGUUUGUAGUCUAGGUUAGAUACAUCCGUAUGUAGACAAAUUGAAGACAAAUAAUAUGGAAAGGAGGGAGUAUAUUAUUUGACUCAAGCA